GAACUUGUAUUUUAGCCAGAAGCAAUUAUUUGAAGUUAAAACGUCUUAAAGGAGAAGAAAAAAAAGGCAUGAACAUCUUGGAUGACAAGGGGCUUUUGGCUUCACAUUAACAAGACAUUAACUGAGUGACUGGAGUUGUGUGGAUUACUUGUGGAUUAUUGCAAAGUUUUUAUCAGCUGUUGGACUCUUAUUCUGACGGCACCCAUUCACUGCACUAACUUCAGAUGAAGAAACAGACUCAUCUUGGAUGGCCUGAGGAUUUUGCUCGUAUUUCAUGCGGAUCUCAUGGAUUUCCAUAUCUGCGUCCUCUUCCUCCUGCUUUAUGUAUUCCUCAAACUCCCGAACCUUCUGCUGGGAUUCCUCCUGAUUCUGCAAGUUGGAAAGAAAAGGCUUUGCCUCAUAAGACUGCAUCAUCUCCUCCAGGGCUCGGGUCUUGCUCUCCUCAACACUGUGCAGCUGCUGCUCAUAUUCCUGCUGAACUUUAUGAAGCUUCAGUUGUAGCUCCUGGUAUUUCUCAUAUUCCA